GCGUGAGGGGAGGGGCUGAGCGGAAUGGCGCGCGGCGGGCUGAGGGAGCGGCCGUAUCGAUUUUGUGGUGUUUUGCGCGCUGAGGUGAUUUUGUGAUAACGCCCCACGGCUCAGCUCGACUCCCGCUCCCACAGCGGGCUGCUCUGAGGGAGCUGCCCCCGCCUCCCCUGCACGCUGUAAUUACUGGAGCACAUAAAGCGGCUCCAGCGGGAAUUUAUCGCUUUCAGGCAGAAAUACUCCCAGCCAAAUAAAAGAUAGAGUAGAAGUGCCAGAAGCAAUACAUAACAGGCUUUACUGACAUUUCGCGUUGAGAAUCCCCACCGUCGAAAUAAAAGUAAAUCCUCUGAAUAUUCAGAUGUCCAUUUCCCGAAUACCAGCACCCGAUUCCUGAUCGAGACUAACCCCCACGUCAGGUACCAUUGUGCUGAAGGGUAAUGGGGCCGUGAGCUGCCA
rnacentral:lncRNA from 1 species